GAUUUCUGGUAUGGCGCAUUUGGCCCGCUUCGGUUACGGAGUUGAGUGCCGUUUUGCGCCUGCCAUCCUUCUGGAAUACGACUCUCCCUUCAUUGGGUUGGGCCGGAAUCCAGAUCAUUUACUUUGAAAAAAUUAGAGUGUUUAAAGCAGGCUUACGCUAUGAAUACAUUAGCAUGGAAUAAUAAUUUAGGACUUUGGUCUUAUUUUGUUGGUUUCUAGGACUAAAGUAAUGAUUGAUAGGGAUAGUUGGGGGUGCUAGUAUUGGCCGGCCAGAGGUGAAAUUCUUGGAUUCGGUCAAGACUAACUUAUGCGAAAGCAUU
rnacentral:rRNA from 1 species